rnacentral:tRNA from 3 species
UGGGGCGUCGCCAAGUGGUAAGGCACCGGUUUUUGGUACCGGCAUUCGUAGGUUCGAAUCCUGCCGCCCCAGCCA